rnacentral:rRNA from 1 species
GUCCGAUCAACUGUAGUAAGCUGGUAAGAGCCUGACCGAGUAGUGUAGUGGGUGACCAUACGCGAAACUCAGGUGCUGCAAUC